GACGAACCGGGCGAACGUUAUUCGGAAUCACUGGGCUUAAAGCGCGUGUAGGCGGGACGGCACGUCUGUCGCUGAAAUCCCCCGGCUCAACCGGGGAAGUGGCGCCGAUACGACCUUCCUGGAGGGACGUAGGGGGACCUGGAACUCCCGGUGGAGCGGUGAAAUGCGUUGAGAUCGGAAGGAACGCCCGUGGCGAAAGCGAGGUCCUGGACGUUUUCUGACGCUGAGACGCGAAAGCCAGGGGAGCAAACGGG
rnacentral:rRNA from 1 species